CCGGCCAGCUCCCCUGCCUGCUCCGGAGCCCUGCGGUCUCCUUCCAUGCCUGUGGUCCCAGGCAUGGAACCAUGCCUCUGGCUUCCCACGCCCUCAGCACCAUGGCAGGCUCUCCUAGAAGCAGGGCCGGAGCUCAGGUACAAGUUAGGCAGCUGCUUCACGCAGCCCUGCUCUGCUUUCUGCUGUGCAGCUCCUCGAGGUGAAGUGGAUUAGGAGGACGAGAGGUGUCUUCAGCUGCUGACUGAUGUUUUACAAGCUGGUUGGUAUGUCUCAAUGCUCUGUAUAAGUAUCUGGAGAGCUCUGCCCAUGCACAGUUUGCAUUCUUCCACCGAAUGAUAGAAUAAUGGAAUAUCCUGAGUUGGAAGGGCCCCAGAAGGAUCAUCAAAGUCCAACCACUGGCUGUGCACAGAACACCCCAAGAGUCACACCACGUGGCUGAGGCUGUGACCACUGGCCCUGGCAGCCUAUUGCAGUGUCCAGCCACCCCCUCGUGAAGAAUCUUUUCCUGGUAUCCAACUUAAACCUCCUCUGGCACAGCUAUGUACUAUUGAGUCUGGUCACUGGUCAGGUAUCUCAUUAAUUUUUCUAUUUUAGGUAUCUCUUUAAUUUUUCUAUUUACUUCUUGACCAAUUAAUUCGAGCACUUUGUUUUUAAUGUCUCUUAGGAAAAGAACAGUUGUAUCCCAUCCUGUUUCACAUCCUUUUUAUAUUUCUUGUGGCUGACUUCUCCCCAAUAAGAUUUUGCCUUUUGUAAAAGUAGAGAUUAUAUCCCUAUUGAUAAUUUUAUUUUAGACUGUGUCAGAGUUCAGAUGUAUGGAGUUACCAAUAAGUUUCAUAUGUCAGACAUAACAGUGCAUACACCAAAUACUAGUUUACAUUAUGACUGUGUGGUUGAAGGUAUAAUCUUACCAGUAGAAACCUCUUUCCUCAUAUGUGUUUUCUCAGCAUAUGGUAUGUCAUGUAGACCAUGCUAUAUAAAGAGCCAAAAUUCCAGGAUGUUUAAUUCUGUUUUCCUCAUGGAUUGUUCUGUAUUGGAUAAGUUGUAUUUCACUUGUCUCUGAGAAUUUUUUUUUAACUUGAGGGUAAUGAAUUUACUCUGUAGGGAUUGUAAAAACUCAAACUCAAUUUAUACCAAUUCCUCAAAUAUAAUAAACUUUUGUAAGUUUUCCUAAUAAAAGCUCCAGUCGCCUUGCUGUUGUAUGUGGGUUUUUUAUGUACAAGGCCAUUACUUCAAUGAACCACAAAACAGAAUAUAGGAAUGUGGUAAAGUAGAAUAUUUUCAUACCUGGUUUUACUCUUUACCAGAAUGUGACUCUUGCAUAUGCAGAGAAGUUUUUCGUUGAUUUAUAUGUUUUCAGUGUGCAGUGGGGUUGGCUCACAGUAUGGCUGUACAGAAGCUGAUGGACAAUCCAUAUCUUUUAUUCUGUAAAUAGUAUGCUGAUCAAACUAAUAGCUGCAUGUAACUAAUAUCAACAAGCUUGACUCAUGUGUUCCCACCUGCAUGAUCACCUACAGACAAGAUAUAUAGCACAAUCUGCAGGUUAAAAGAAAUACAGGCUCUGGGGUUUUUAAUUCCAAUGAAAAAAAAUUAAAAUGUCUAAAUAGAAAAUUUUUGCUGUCACCCCACCCCUAGAAUGACAAUGUCAGAUUAAUUGAAAGAGCUGUAAUUUUUUUCCUGUACUGUUCUGCAAAAAUAGUUUGUGUAAAAAAAUCAUUAUUUUUUACAAAAUAUUUGUAAAAAUUAAUAAUUUUUAGUUUUUUAAUAAUUUACAAA